GUGGCUCUAUUCCUAGACUUUGGAGGAGGGAACUCGGUUCAGCAGCCUCAGCUGGGUGCCCUUCUCCCGAGGAAGGUGAGCCUGCCUCCCUGGGGCCAUCCCCUGGAGGGGAGGCCCCAGAGAGGCCCAUCCUUCCUGCCUUGCCGCCGGGGGGCGCUGUGGGGGCACUUGCGGCUCGAGAGCGUCGAAAAUCCUCAGAGCUCCCUGUGAGGUCGCUAUUUCUAUUCCCCUCGUUUUCAGGUGAGUAAAUGGCAGUUUGCGGAGGUUAGGAGAGUUGCUCGAGACUGGUUAGUGACAAAACUGGAUUCACAAACUCCGUUCUCCCCUACUCCCAGCUUGGAUCCUGACCCUUUCCUCUCCUUGCUCACGGCGGCAGCAGAGACGGCAGGAGGUGUGGUGGGUGUGACUGCAUCUGAUGAGCACCGCCCCCCCCCCCCCCGGUGGCACAGGCAGGGUGCCCCAGAAAUGCGGACAAUCAGCGCUCUGGGGGUCAGCUGGGGGUAGCUCUACAAGUGGUCCAGGAAGGUGGCCACCUUUCGGGAGACUAGUGGUGGCCUCUCUGGCAAUGGACUUCUUUUGAGGCUCUUUUGGACAUCUGAACGAUUUUGCAGUGAAAUCUUUUAGACUCCCCGGAGGGCACGUCUGGGUCUGCGCCCCCUCUGCACUGAGCUGAGCCCCCAGCCAGAGCCGGAGCCCUCGCUUCUUUAUUCCAGCCACUGCCCCAGCGAUCCAGCCAAAUCCAGAGUGGCCGACUCCCAGCCUUUCCCUGGGGAAAGGAAUGCUGUUUCUGCUGGGUGAAGGGGACACUGUUGCCACACCAGCAAGAGACCUUGCAACUAAGAACCAUUAACUGAGGGUCAGAGCAAGUAUAGACCACACUGCAUCCAGGCCACAGACACCACCAAUCCUAGGGGCUGCGAAUCUUCGUGGAGAGAGGACAUGUCAAUGAAGCUCAAAGCCAGGGCCCCAGAAUGAAAUGGAGGCAACACCACACCCUAGACUCGUGGUCUGCAACACAAGGCUGACUCGGGGCCACAGAGGUGCCUGAUACUUCCAUGGAGAAGAGGGCGACCUGUCUUUGGUUAACACUCCCUUAAAUGCAAUCUGACAUUGAGUGAAACAACAACAACAACAAACCAAGAAGAAAAACAAAGAAGGAAAGGAAGGAAGGAAGGAAGGAAGGAAGGAAGGAAGGAAGGAAGGAAGGAAGAAAAAAAAAAAACCAACCCAUUUGGACAGAUCAGAGAAUUGACUGGUGUAAGCCCAGGAAAACUGUCAGCAGCAAUCACUGUCUGCUAAUCCCAGCCUGCUGUUAAUCAGCGUCUCCUUGGCACUCUGGGGUAUUUAUUCUAGUAAAGAUUUAAGCCAGUUUGUUUUUAAGACGAGCCACUCUAAUCCCCUCUAUUUAACUUUAUAACUCAAUGUCGGUUACCAAGUUACUCAGGGAGCUGCCUGGAAAAUCUCUCCCCCUCCCACAAACAUGAUUAACCUCUCUUAGCUUAUUUUUCCUGAAGUUUUAAGGGUAGUGGCAGCCGGAGGCGGGGUAGAGACCCUGAGAGGAGGGGGAGGAGGAGGAGGGAGACAGAAAGGGAAAGGGAGGCCAACAGUGGUCUGAAAAGCAAGCCAAAGGCAGAGCCCGAGCUUUCGGUAUCUCUGUUCGUGCAGACCCUGUCAAAAAUCAGGUCAUGGGCUAGAGUUGGGGGCUUCCUUAUUUCUUUUUUAUGGCGUCAUUGAAUGCCCGCCCCCCCCCCCCUUCAAGGGCACAGAGAAAACACAGCAGAUACAAAUAAUCAAAGGGCCAUGCGCUGGGGACUGGGGCAAUAUGCCAAGCUCUGCUUUGAAUGUGAAGUUCAGAGGGAACUUGAGCGAUUGCAUUUCAAAGCAUGGUUAUCAGAAGCUGGCAUGGCCGGUCCACAGAUGGUGGGUGGGGCAGAGGGUCUCCACAGAGACACCCCAGUCCCAGUCCCGAAGGGCAGCCCCCUGCCUGCCCAUUGCCCCCCCCCCCCACCCCCUCAGGGUCCUUCCUGGGAGGUCUCCCUCUCUCCAGCUCCCUCACAGGAAGAUGGUCCCAUGUGACCCCGGACAAACGCUGGCCCAGCAGCGUGUCCUUCUCCGUAUGGACACCGCGCGCGUCCCGUGGCCAGUUCGGGCGACCCAGGGAUGGUGUAGCACCCAUCAGCCGGUCCAGCCGCCCUUCCAGACUCCCCCCCCCCACCCCCCCCCGGCAGGGGGCCACGCGGCUGGGGCCCUGGGAACGGGGUAGAGGGACAGAAGUGGCAGUUUGGGGGAAGAAAGCAUUCGAGCCUACCCCAGAAAGGCACGUGCAGGCCUUGAGCCCCGGAGAAAAACCCUGUCGAGAGACGCGUCGCACCCCAUCCCUCGCCGUCCCCGCCCUGGCACCCGACGCCCGGCCCGGCAGGGACCGGAGGGCACAGGCGGGCACAGGCGGUACUCACGCUGCUGGGGUGGAGCAUGGGCAGAGGCAGCAGCAGCAGCGGCACGAAGAUAACGAGCAGCAGCUUUCUCGCCCGGAGAAGGCCCUGGAGCAGGCCCAUCGUGGACCUCCGUGCGCGGGCGGGCCGCCAGGGGCCUCCGGCGACGGCUCAGUCCGGAAAGGACUCCUCAAAGCCUUCUCGGCUUCCAAGAGUCCUCUCUUGUCUUGGGGGCAGGAAAGGAGGGCAGUUACAGCUCCCGUUGGCACAAAAGGCUGGGCUCCUUGCCUCCUCGUUUAGGUGGGAUUGGUGAGCAUGGUUUUGCGCCCAGCAGAAAGGGAGCGGGAAAGGAUCGUGAGCCGAGGCAUAGCGGGUCCCCCUUCGUGCGGUUACCUCUAGAGUGACUUCUUUCUAGGGCCCUCCAUCAUGUUGCCGCUCUCUGAUGGCCUGUUGGGGCAGUACCGGCCUCUCCUCUACCUGUGCUUGCUGAACCCCCUUUCCUUAACACAGCACCCCCCCCCCAAGUUUGUCAGCGGCAGAUGCAGACUUCAGAUAGGGCUGCUUCUCUUUCUGGCACCUUAACUCCGUUCAAAUUUCUUUCCUUCCAAUUGGUUUCCCACUUAUAAUUUGCCUUGAGCCCGGGGCCUCCAAAGCAGGGGGAAAAAAAAAUCCCCAGGACUGUCCUCGUCGUCCCGGGACAAAAAUCUCGCCGGGGGCCCACCUUAACUUUCCUUCACCUAUGGGAAGCCGGACAGGAGGCAGCAGCCCCGCCCAUUCCUCAAAGCCAAUCGGUACUUUGGAAAGAAUGAGGCGGAUCUCUUCCAAAGGCAGCUCUUGAUUGGUCCCAGCAGGGGCCUGCUGAGUCCGCAGAAGCUAUAGGCAACUUGCAAAGCUUAUUUUUGUUUCUCAAACGUCCUAGGGGCUGCAGUGACGAUCAUCAUCGUCGUAAACACCAUCCCACUUAUGCAGAGCUGUCCCUGGGAGAGCCACUUACUAACCUGGUCCUUAGGAAGAUGUGUGCGGUGGCAGGGAGAAAAUGAAAUAUAAUCAUUCGGGGGGAAGUUGGCCCCCAGACUGUACAAUAUUACGCCUUUCAGAUAUCCCUGGUGACAAAGAUCAUUUGCUUCAUCAUCUGAGUGAGUACGAAUCAUCUGGACCAGCAGAGGGUGUUAGCCUCUAAGAAAGACCGCAGAUCUUUUUAGGGAGAAUGGGAAGGGUAGCAACCUCUCUGGAUAAGUCUAGAUGACGGUCUCAUUUCCAAGGCCCUCGGUGCCCAGAUGUCAGUGGUCUUUCUGGCCGGAGUAGGUGCUCAAAUGCUCCUCUUUGAGGCUCUUUACCAAAAAAACUGAAGCAGAAAGCUACCUGUGGUUGGUAUGCAAGGAGGAAGGAGGUGGGAGGGCAGGGAAGAAGUUGACAAGUUCAGGGUCAGGGCCCUAGCAGCUGUUGCCCUCUGGAAUUUCUGCUGCUUAGAGAUCAGGAGAAGCUGUCAGCCUCUUUUCUCAGAAUGGACACGUGGCUCAGGUCACCCAUGUUUUCCUGAAUUCACAGAAUUCAAGAAUGGCAUUCUAUGGUCAGCACCUGUACCUGUUGGAAAUGAUCCCCAGGCUAAAUGUAAAGUGAUUGGAGAAGUGGCCCCAGAAAACCAGUUCUUCUUGACUUCCAAGGCAGGUGUAAUUGUGGACAGUCCAGGCUCCCUCUGAGGUUAUCUUGCCAUCGUAGGAUGGGCUAUGAUGACCCAUCUCUUUCAAUGCACGUUAGAGACUGGCUACCGUAUAUACUGCAUUUGGGCCUCACUCUUGUGAUGAUUUUGUAACUCAGAAUGACAAUAUCACGUGCGUGAUGUUUGGGUGGCAAAUAUUAAAGAGGCUGGGUAAUAAUUAACCGCAGUGGAGAUCAAUAUCCACUGUUAAACCCAUGGACCGACCACCUCACAUUCCUUGGCGAGAUAAUCUGACAUAACAAAGAUUCCACUGAGCCUAGUAAACUCGAUCAUGACAUUUUUAUUAUACCAUAAAGGAAUAACUGUUAAAUAAAAUUAGGGAAGGUGAGCAACACGGUAAGACCAGUAGUUCUCCUUCAGGGCUCUAUCCAUUUUUCAGAUGAAGAAAACACUUUCCGGGAUACUAUGCUUAAGAAAUAUAAGGCAGGUUUCACUUCUCUGAGGUACCUAAAGUAGUCAAUCUCUUAGAAAGUAGAAAGGCAGUUGCCAGGCACUGAGGGGGAGAGGAGAGAGGCGAGUUACUGUUCCAGAGGGGUCGUCUUUGCAAAAUGAAAGUUCCUAGAGAUCUGUCACACCACCCUGUGCCUAUAGCUAACACUGUGCGGCAUGAUAUGGGCAACUCAGAUGGUAAAUUUCAUGUUACUUUUUUUUUUUUUUAACCGCACAAAAAAUUAGGAGACAUUAAAAUGGGUUAGGAAACUAAGGGGUGCCAUAUAAAGACAUUUAACAAGUGUUUAAUUUUAGACCGGUCCACCGGUGGAAAUACCUUCUGACUGAUUUACCACUGAGGCGAUUCUCUUUUAGAUUCAAGGCGAGAUGAGAGGGCAAUGGAAGUUUCAGCCAUACAGAUGUUUUUCAGCGUCUCUUGAGUGACGCCAGAGGUAGCCACCAGGAUAGCAACGAUAGAAGAAGCUUCCGGAAUUUUUAGAUCCUACAAGUUCCCAGCAGUAUAGAAAUGGCAGAAUUAGUCCCAGAAGUUACAGGCACAUUUCCUCUACAGAAACCAUGCCCCAAAUUAUUCUGUCUAUGCGUAAUUAUGACGAAAGGUGAUCCAGUUGUGAUGUGGUGCUACCGUGUGGGACCAGUGAGGCAAAAUGGGACAGUCUUUUUCUGUCCAGUCUCCUUUUUCACUGUUCGUUGAGCAAAGAGUCAGGUCUUUGGUGGCAUUGGUGAGUGUUGUAUUUGAUCUUCCGCAUAAAUGAAGUUAUUGUGAUAAAGCUUCUUGUGGGAAACAAUUAAUUUGUAUUCAGCUGCAAAUAGUAUUUAAUAGUGUCAUGGAAUUACUGAAAAUGAAAUUUUCAUUUGUCUUUAAAAAAGUCAUGCCCUUCUUGUUUCUUUUUUUUUUUUUUUUUCUUUUUCCCUCGGUCCUUGAUUGCCACAUAAGCAUGUGCCCCAAUUCAUGAGUACAAAAGUGCCUUUAAUUUUUGCUGCAGGGUGAAUGAACUUCCAGGUUAUCACUGGUCCUGGGAACCAUCCUCCCAUUCACGAAUCUCCUACCACUGGGAGUGACCGCGAAUAUCAGAACAUGACAGGGAGGGACUACAAGGGUGGUCUGUCUAACCAGUGACUGAACAAAGGCUCUCAGAUCCAUCCUGAUGGGGGUGGAGGCCCGGGGUGGCAUGCAAGACUGAUGUCAGGGUAUUGCACAAUGUCAAAGGAUUGAGCCCUCUGCUAACCUCCUCUACCCCACAUCCAGAGAAAGUACAAACAGUGAAGGCAGCCAUGAGGCUAAUCGGCCUUUUGGGAACUCCUGGCCCUGUAUGUUGACCUUUGUUUUGGUCAGACAGUGAUACCCACAGGGGGCUGAAAGACAGUGAGCGUCAGAGUGCAAGCAGACAGAGCUAGAGUGAGCAUACGUGCACCAAAAGAGACUGGGAGAAGUGGAUACAAAGAUAAUCAGAAUUGGGCCCAAAGAUAAAGCAGAAGAGACACAAACCAGGUCGAAGAGAACAUGGAAUAUUAGAAAGGGGAAAAUGGAACCAAAAGCGUAUAUCAGAGACUGCAUUUGAGGGCCGUAAAAGGGUGGUGUAAUCAGGGAAUGAGGACCAGAGAAACCAGCAGUCAUUAAUCUUCGGAGCCCGAGAACAUCAGGAUUUUUCCAUGUUGUAUUUUUCUCUGAUGAUGAAUACCUUCGUCCUACAUCCUACUGUUUCUCCAAAAGGAUCAUGCGGCUGCGAAGCAAUGACUUAUUCAAAGUUUUUAAGAAGUCCAGAUCAACUUUAGGCCAUCAUCCAAUGACAAUUGUUAAAUACCCAUUUCAGAAUCAAAUUUUGCCGGAUAAGAUGUCACUCAUUCAAAGAUUAGACCUCUUGCAACGUAAGCCUCCAAAACCCAGCUGUCAAGCCAGGAGAGCCAGCGAGGAAUCCGUAUUAGAGCCUAGUGCCUCCCUCUAGCAGAGACCUUCGCCUACUAGCUCCGAUUUAACACGGAAUUAUGACAAGCCUCCCUGCUUUGUCCCUUAGGUGGUAGCAGCCAAAAUAGAACAAAUUGCAACGGGCAAGUUGUGUUGGAAAGAAAGAGGAGCGCCCUCUUACAGCCUCACGGUGCAGAAGGCAGGACACACACCCGACAGAAUCAGCAAAGCCCCGGGGCCUUCUGGGCUUGGCGCAAACAGUCCAGCAGACCCCUUAGGUCCUGGUGUCCUCCCUGUGAUUAUCCCACGGCUGGUUCAGUGAUCGUGGAACUUUCGGAAGUCGAGCAAUCUUAGAGGUUAUUUUAUCCAAUUCCUUCAUCAGAACGUUUCAAAGAUCCUAAAUAGAAGCUCAAGAUGUCACGUACAUACAGUUAACAAAGACAGCAAGUCAGCAUUGCUAAAAUGAAGGUUGUGGCAUUUGAAAGGGUAAGUUCUGUUGUCUAAAAAAUCAUUUGUAUUUGGAGCUCUCAGUUUUGGAGCUCUUCCUAGGAUGAUCCUCUCUGCAUCAGCGUGCUUUCUCUGUUCAGAAGACGAGGUCAGACAGUUUGCAGCCUCUCUGUGGGCCCCCGUCAUGUUUCUCCUCUGUAUUAGAUCCGCUUUCGGAGAAGAAGAGACAAGACAGAGAGGCCAUAACAUUACUGAUUUUCUGGCUGAUGCUUCUUGGUGACUUUUGGAAAAGUUGACACGUGGAUCUUUGGCUAACAAAGUGUUUAUUUGCUAUAGCUCCAGCUUUUCGUUUUAAGUAUCUUAACUAUGUGGAACCUUUGGAAUGAUGUUCAUUCGGCCUCACGCCCUGAUCUCUGUCCCCCCAUCUUCCCGCAAUGCCCAAACCUCUGUGCCGUCUCCUCUAGCUCUGUCUUCGCCCUCGGGUGUUUAUGGCGGUCACUCGGUGAUGCAGCGCGUCACCAGGCAAAUCAGGUGGCCUUUGGAGGCAUCUUGAAUGACCACGCUAGCCCUUUCUUGCAGCCCCGGUCACACCGUGACACGAAUUAGAUGUGCUUGUCAGGGAACUACGAGGGGCAGAGGACAUGGGGUUACUUAUUUUAUCUCUGCUACUCUGAGUUGGUGGCAUGUGCUUUGUUGCAGGGCUCUGUAAAUGGAGUAGAGAAUGAAGAGUGUUUGGAUUACCGCGUGUGCUGGUCCCUGCUCCGUGGCCGUGGGCCGGGCUCUCAGGGAGACACUCUGGGGCCCGAGGACCGCAUCAAGUCAUGCCUCAGGGCCUGGAAGAGGCUAAGGAGGGAUUGGGCCCAGAUGUCCUUCUGAUGCCCUUGGGACAGGGCGGUGCGGUAGGCCGUGUAGGCCAGGGUCAGCGCUGUCCUUUCAAAGUCCUCUUUCUUGAGGAUGCCAGGGUGGCUGGAGAGGCUGGCGCUCAGCCGGCGGAUGUCCGGGAUGCGCUUGGGGAUCACGUGAUUGCAGAUGGUGCGGAAGUCGGAGGCUUUCCUCAACGAGGACAGCUCCUCGUCCUUGAUGGAGAUCUUCAGGUCGGGGCUGAUGUCAAGUUCAGCUAGCAGGAACUGGAGAGAGACACGGGGCGUGGAAAGACAUGAGGCAUUCAGGCUUCACCAAGGACACCAGUGUAUUCGUUACCACGUGUGUUCAUUGAGGGAGACAGACGAGGAAAGAGCUUUGGAAUCCAAGAGACCUGGGUUCCAGUUCCGACCUUCCCACUAGCUGUGUAACCCUGGACGAGCUACUUAACUUCUCUGAGCCUCAUUUUCCUCCUGGGUGAAAUGAACAGAUCUGUUCACGUGACUCCCAAGUUCCAGACGUGGCCAGGUUUGUUCCCCGUGGCAGGAUCUGAAAUCUCUCCCUCCUCCCCCCAGCUCAACUGCUUGGCUGCAGCAGGCCAUCUCUUUCUUAACCCGAAAGUUCUGAGCAGUUCUACUUCCUCCAGGGAGCUCUGCAGGACGGGAUUCAGGGGCACGGAUGAGGAUCUCUUUGGCCGAUGCGCGGCAGGGAAGAGCAUGGCUGCAAGAGACAGGAGUUAGUUCGAGAGGCUGCUUGUGCACAUGGCCUUCUCCCCACCCCCGCUGACCUGGAGGUGGGCCGGCCCGUCUUGAGAGUGACUGACUCCACGUGGUGGUGGACGUGAAGCAGGAAAAAGGGACAGACGACUCUGGUGCGCCCCAGAGGGCUCCCAGGCAUGUCCCAUGUAACUGUUUCAGACCAGUGAUUUCAAACCCGCUGCUCAUCAGAAUCAUCCCGGAAAGUUAUGAAAAACUAGAUGUCUAGGGAUAUGGAUACCUUAGGGAAUUUAUGUAAAGCAAAAUAAAACAGAAAUGAGUGGACAGCCCUCCCUGCUGCCCCCCGCCCCGCCCCCUGUUCACCAAAUGAGUUCUCUAAUAACACCGUUCCCUUUGUUAAUACGAAAUGCUGGUUUAUAUUUAUUGACAACCCUCUUAAUCAGAGGAUCAGACUUCUGGCUGUUCCCCAGCCAUCUGAAAGCGAGCUGCCAAGACGCUGGACACAGGUGACAAAGGAAAGGCAGAGAGCCGCCACAAGCCCCUGACACUUGGCCCUAGGGGUGUGUGAAGCAGAGCUCAGGGCUUCCCCUGGGGGCGGGCUGAGAGGGGCACGUGGCGUGCAGUCAUUGGUUCGCCAAUGUUUUUGGAGAUACCGCAUUUGGAGGUGGUACCUGGAGGAAGACGGAUGAGCUGAGGGGUGGAGGGGGUGGCAGAAUUAGGAACUGACAGAGGGCAGGUGAAGAAGACAGACUAAGGUAGGGUAUGGGUGUAAGCGUUAGGAAUCCCAGUUCUCCAGGAUGGUCUUGGGUAAGAGCAGACAGCCCCGUUCACCCCGCAGCCCCACCUUGGACCAGGGCGCCGCGCAGAAAUGAUUGGUAACCCUGCUGCCUGCCAAUAAAAGAAGGGACCCUCUUCUUCAAGACACUUGCUUGUGCCCUGCCAGAAAACUGGGGAACCAACUGUAAACAUCCAAGCCGUGUCCAGCCCACUCUUCCAGGAUGCGAAUGUGCCCACGAGGACCACUCCGCGCCGCCGGGGGACGUCGGAGACUUCCACGUCUCCUCACGCAAAGGUCUCCUGUAUGGCUGGUCGCAGGGCAGGAAGACCAUGGGCUUCUCCCCAGUUCCCUGACUCCCUGGACAAACAAGCCUUCGGGGGGAAAUUGAGGCUCUGUGAUACAUUGGACAGACCAGCACAGAGCAAAUGACUCACUUGCUAAAGGUUAUGCCCGUGCACCAAGAAGCCCGGGAACAGAGUCCAGAGACUCGAGCGUCAUGUGUCAGGGCCUGUUCUGUCCACGUCUUCUGCCGAGGGACACAUCUGGGCUGCGGACCAAAGUUGUUAAAAUGUGGAGCUCAGAUACCCUAACUGUGCACAAGCCCACUGUGUGCUCAUCGGCGUGCUUUGGGCUUUCCACACGUACCUUGUGAGACUGGUUAGCUCCCCUCAACCCCCCAAGUGGAGCUCUGGCAGGCCCUGGGGGCGCAGGGAGUUGGGCCAGGCGUGUCUGGCUUCUAGGCUGGCCUCCCGAACCACAGAUUUCUAAUUGCAUUUGAGAAAGAAUAAUGAGCAUCAAAUAAAUACAGAGCAACUUACCCCUGCUCCACCUGUGGGACACCGCCGCCUGAGCAUCAUAACACAACAGCAGAAGCAGCAGCGUGUUCCAACACAUCUUUUGCUCCAAAAAGGUGACACUUGUCCUCGAACCCAAUGGGACCUCAGGAGCUACAGGUAUUCAGCAUGACCUCAGGCAAGCGAGUCUGAAGCAGCCAGACAUGAAGCAUUCCCGGUGAGGUUUAUCUCUGACACUGUUCCGUGCCGAACACAGAGCUACAUCAUUCUACGUGCUUCUGGUGGGGACCCCCAUAAAUCCUCAUCUGCAGCAAAGGAAUUCUGUCGCACUUCAGCAGCAAGUUCGGAGUAGCCGGGAUGGGCUGGCUUCGUGCUUGAGCAUGCCGUCCGGGAUAUGGACACUCUCCACGGUCCUGCAGCAGAAGAGGGCAAGGGAAGACUAACGCCCCAGAAGAGGUACAGCGUGUGCCUUGAAGGUCAGAAAGCUCAGACCCGCUGGAGGAACACACGUAAUUUUCCAUCGAGAAUGGCUUGUGCUCUCCUCCUCCCCCCCAGAAGCCCUAUCAGUCCCAGAGAGUUCCCUCUGCUCAGGCCUGGCCAGCUGACGGAAUAGUUCUAACUCAGAUCACAGCAGAAUUUGGAGUGUGAUAAAGCCAGUUGCAAAACUCCCUCCUCGGAUGGAUAGACCAUCACAUAAAUGAAGAUUAGGGCUUCUAGGGCCAGCGCCUGUACCUGGACUCGAGCCAGCUCUCCUAGAAAUGUGUUCUCUAGAAUGCGUUCUAAAGAACGUGUAGUGUUUCCCCUCCGUGUGACAAAAGCCGUCUGAUCGAGUGACGGUAAGAGCUUUGGGAUCAGGAGGCCAGAGUUGAAUGGUGCUGUACUUCAGGACUUAGGCUCUCAGAGAUUGUUUUCUCCUCUGUGAGGAAGGAAUAAAAAUCCUGGAUUGCCUCUGUCAUAGGGAGGCCAUGGGUGUGAAAGCAUGUUUCCAAAGCUGAGCUUUGGAAGUACAAUUCCCUGACUGUGAUCACAGUUGUGGGUGGAGAGUGUUGAUUUCAUAAUCAAGGGGCAGCCCAUUCGGUUGAUUCUGCCCCUACUGUCCCGGCCUUAGACAGUGAGUGAUCCCUAAAGCAGUGCCUCGAACACCGCAGCUGCUAAUCAAAGUCAAGGCGACAUGAAUUAACCUCAAUAAACCAAUGGCAAAUGCUCCUCAUCUCUACUUUAGCUCACCCCAGGACUUAGGACGCUGGGGUCCAGCCGGGCUGUUCAAAGGGAUUGUCCGUUACGGGACAUCACACAUCGCUGAAGGUGCCCACGAGCAGAGGCUGUAAGGCGGAGUCCCGCUAUAUAAGCCCCUCCGCAUGAAAGGACAUGAGAACCCGCUUCCCUGGAAACCCUUCUCGGCUACUAGAAAGUCUCUCUUCAUUUUCUGACAAAAAAAAAAAAAAAAAAAAAAGCUAGUAUAAAAAAUCAUUGGUUAUCUCCAAAAUGAUCAAAUAAAGGCAGUUUUCCUGGUAAAACCUGUGGAUUCUGGUAUCCUGUGCGUUGACGUGGGGGACACAAAUGGACAGAAAGAACAAUGGCUGAUAUUUACUGAGUCGCUACUAUGUUCCAGACACUGCCUGAAACGUUUACACAUAUUACUGCGUUUAAUUCUUACAACAACGCGCUGGGUUGAGUACUCUUACUACACCCACUUUACAGGUGGGGAAACAGGUUCAGGGAGAUCAAGGAAUGUGCCCGUACAGCCGGGAAGUAGCAGGGCUGGGCCUUAGACCCAGAACUGUCUGAUUCCAAAGCUCAUGCUCUUAACCACGGUGCAAUUAUUUGACUCUUUGCCUUGUUCUUCUCCUCAAUUUGUAACUUGCAAUGGAUCCAAGUGAAAAUGUAUCCCUUGUGCCCUCCUGCCUUCUUUCUUCUAUUGGGCAGCCCUGGGUUAAAUUCCGUAGUCAGGCUCUGCCACACUGGAGGAGACCAGGGUUUGGUGUUGAGCUCCGUCUGGCCCAGGCAGGCUUUGAAGCUGUACUCAGGCUGGCUCC